rnacentral:rRNA from 1 species
GACGAACCGAGCGAACGUUGUUCGGAAUCACUGGGCUUAAAGGGCGCGUAGGCGGGUACUCAAGUCCGUGGUGAAAUCCUCCGGCUCAACCGGAGAACUGCCUCGGAUACUGGGUGUCUCGAGGGUGGUAGGGGUCUGCGGAACUAUCGGUGGAGCGGUGAAAUGCGUUGAUAUCGAUAGGAACUCCGGUGGCGAAGGCGGCAUACUGGACCACUUCUGACGCUGGGGCGCGAAAGCCAGGGGAGCAAACGGG